rnacentral:rRNA from 1 species
UUUUAUGAGAGUUUGAUCCUGGCUCAGGACGAACGCUGGCGGCGUGCCUAAUACAUGCAAGUCGAACGCUUCUUUUUCCACCGGAGCUUGCUCCACCGGAAAAAGAAGAGUGGCGAACGGGUGAGUAACACGUGGGUAACCUGCCCAUCAGAAGGGGAUAACACUUGGAAACAGGUGCUAAUACCGUAUAACAAUC